AUGAGCCGAUGGCCUCGGCGCCGCGCGUCGCCGACACAUGGAUCGCCCCGGCCGGCCCCGUCGCCAUCGGCCCGGAUCCCGCUGUCGAGACGGUGUAGUCGACCAACCCCGCCGUGCUCCGCCGUUAGGCGACAGCUCGUCAUCAGGGGGCCGCCCCAUCCUGAGGAUGGGCGCCGCGUGCAUGCAUGCAUGCCUCUGUCGGCCGGCCGACGAGACCGCGCACCCGCAUUAUUUGUUGUCGAUCUCCUCUCGAACGUCACCGUGGACCCAUGCCGGCCAUGGACGCGAAGGGCGAGGCGGACGGGGGACGGGCGGUGCGUGCGUGCGCGUGUCGGCUCUCCGGCGAGAUCGACCGCGCAUCCGCAUUGUCGAGGCUGUCGUCGCCAUCGCGGAACCCCAACCGCAGGCCGCGAGGGAGCUAGCCCAUCGAUCAAAGAUAGAAGAUUUGAUUGCGCGCGCCCGUGCGUGUCUCCUGCAUGCGUCCACGCUUUUCGAACAAGCGCCGGCUACCUAGAAACGGGUCAGGCGUAUCUCUCCGUCCAGAUAUAUAGCUUGCUACGUCGGUCUGUGUGA
rnacentral:rRNA from 1 species